AUUUUUGCUGCAUCGUUUUCCUUUGCUUGACAGUUGGAUUUCGUUAUGGCUUAGUUGGGUUACAGUUUCUGUUACCUGACGUUUACUUUGAGAAAAUUAGAGUGCUUCAAGCAGGCUUUUGCCUUGAAUACUUUAGCAUGGAAUAAUGGAGUAGGACUUUGGUUCUAUUUUGUUGGUUUUAGGAGCCAGAGUAAUGGUUAAUAGGAACAGUUGGGGGCAUUCGUAUUUGACUGUCAAAGGUGAAAUUCUUAGAUUUGUCAAAGACGAACUACUGCGAAAGCAUUUGCCAAGGAUGUUUUCAUUAAUCAAGAACGAAAGUUAGGGGAUCGAAGACGAUCAGAUACCGUCGUAGUCCUAACUAUAAACGAUGCCGACUAGAGAUUGGAGUCCGUCAGUUA
rnacentral:rRNA from 1 species